rnacentral:lncRNA from 1 species
AAUGUAAUGAUCAGUUAGAGUAUGUUGUUGUGUUUAAAACACUGAGUUGAAGCUGUAUUUAUAGGUGCAAAACUUGGUCUUACCGUUGUCUAAUUGCCAUUUAAGAAAUGCUGAAUUUACUCAGUGAUAAUCGAUUGUCAAGACAAAACAAUCGAUUAUCUGCCAGUCAGAUCAAAAAUCAAUCCUAGAUUUAACGCUUCACAAUCGAUUAUACAUAAUCUAUAAUCGAUUACUGGCAAAAUUCAAAA